rnacentral:lncRNA from 1 species
UGCAAAGCCUUCCAGGGACAAGGUGGCUCCACAACAGGCCAGCCAAGCUGGGCACAGUCGGAGGAGCCCCCUGUGUGGAGCCCCUCAGCCUGCCUAGUCAGCCUAGAAAGGAACAGAGGGUCAGUGCUCUGGCUCCUGGGGAAAUAGGCGCCUUGUGUCUAUGGGGACAGAUGGGCCUUGGAGCAGGGAGCCUGGAGCCAGCCAGUCUGCCCUCAGCAACCUCAGGGCUGACUGGCUGCCCCAACCCCGGGACCCUUCCUGGGGCCCUGUGAGGGGUCUCCGCAGGACAGCAGUGACUAGAACUGUCAGGGACUCUCCUCUGGAGAGGCAAGCCCUGGGGGGAAGCCUGCGGCCACCUCCCCACAGUCCUAGCUGGAAGGCAGGGUCUGAGACAACCAGCAAGAGCCACGGCAGGCCUGGGGGAGGCACCCUCCAGCCUGACAGCCCCCCCCCAAGGGAAGGCCAGGGAGGGCCAGGCAGGAGCAGCUCACCAUCCCAGACAGCCGCCCGCUCUUGAUCGUCUGUCAGCUGUCUGUGUGUCUGCCAGCCACGUGGAACCAUAGGACGAAGACACCAGCCAGGCCUCCUAGGGUGCAGCAGGGCUCAGGGUCAGCUGGCAGUGUCCCCCUGGGCUCUGACUCCAGGUGCCCAGCCCUGUUCAGGGAGACCCCCACCCCAGGGUGUGGUCACUCUAGACAUCUGCUCACCUGGGGACACUCCAGGGGCCUGAGGUCCUGAUGGUGACCGCAGUCGCCUCUCCCUCACCAGCCCUACUCCCUGAGGAGCCGGCACAUUUGUGUCUGCCCUCAGCUCCCCAUGGCACUGUCCACGCAGGGCAGAGUGCCUGGCUGUACUCAGUCUGCAGUGGUCAGUGUGGGUUUUGGGGCACUGACAACAGGAGCCAGUGUGGGGUGGGUGGUGCUUGUGAGUGGGAGCCGGAGACCUGGGACUGUCACCCACUGAACUGAGGAAGCAGCUAGAGGAGCUGGGUGCCCGGGAACUAGCCCAGCCAGGAUGAGCAGUAAAGACUGGGCGUCCCAAGAGGCACACAGAUGGGAGAGUGGCCUGAGGCUCCACCAGGCCUGUCCAGGGUCCAGUGGCCUCGUCUACGGCAAUGGAGCCCCAAUUCUCAGGCUCUUGUGACUGCAAAUAACGAGGAAUAAAGCUAGAGCCCUCACAGUCUGAUUUCAAACUCUGCAACAAAGCUGCAGUAGCCAAAACUGGCGCUGGCACAGGUCAGCAGCCUAGAAAAACUCUGACAGCUGUUGACAAGGGUGCUGAGGUCCCAGUUUGAAGAAUGUGUGGGCCCUUCACACCAUGUGCAGAAGUUAAACGGGAGAAAUCCUGAAGGAGAACCAACUGCAGACACAAAUGGUAAAGCCCAGGGACACCCUAGGACAUGGGACAGGUCACCAAACUCACCAGGACUGCAUCUCAGAGUGGUGUCCAGAGCACGCAGACACCACCACAGGAGACAAAAGCCCAGCAAGGACCAGGAGGAGGACAUGCACGGAGCCUCCUGCGAAGCAGAUGCAAAUCCCAGUGUGUACCUGGAGAGCACUGGCCAUCCUUGGCCACAAGGGGAGCACAGAUGGAGCCCUGAGGACAGAGGGUGGACCUGCUGCCUCUACGGUCCCCUGGGACAAAGCUGGGCCCUGCUGUCACACUUCCAGCCAUGGGCCCGGGAAGACUGAGGACAACAUUCCCAACAUCAUUCAUGACAGCCAGAGGCCUAUCAAUCUACUGAUGGGCAGACUUCAGCCACAGGAGGACCCUGGAAACGAGGUUCUGGAAGGGGCCAGGUGCAGAAGUGCCCAUGUGACUGCCUGUGGCCACGUCCUAGGAGCAGUUCAGCAGCAGGUUGGGUGGCCCGAAGAGGCAGGGGCCACAGGAGAACGGAAUGCAGUGUCAAGUUCAAGAUGGCUGACUUUGCAGUUAUGUCUGUUUUACAUCCGGAUUCUAGAACACAGUCCCUGAGUGUUCUGAGAGCCUGGACCUGGCCAGGGACUGGAGACACUGUACAGCACAUCAACUGCAGUGGCCAAUGCAGGGCCACUGGCCCCCUUCUGGGUCUGGGGAGGACACAGGAGCCAAUGGGGCUGGAGACUUACCUUCGCCGUCUGCCACCCAGUGGCUGGGCUGUCCGCAUGUAUCAGGCGUUGGCCAGAAGUUGGGGGGGGGAGUCGCUGGGCCUUGCAGGGGUGGGGUGCCACGUCCAGGUCAGGUAAGGCAGCAGGGACCACCUGGUAGCCUACAAACAUGUACCUCAGUGAUGCCCGCCCCUCAGCACCUGCUGCUGCCUGCUCAGCCCUCACCCUGCCAGUCAUCUCCAGGCCUGGGCAAGGCAGGCUGCUUCCUCCCUGCAGGCACGCAGCCGGCCCCGCCUAGGCUGGCACUGGGUCUGGACCAGGCAACUCGCUACUCUAGGGCUCUGCCCAAACCCCGGUGCAGACGGUGGCCAGACCACGCCAGAUGAGGUCAGCCCUGGAACCUAGUGGUCUCAGCCCACAACCUGCCUUGACUUGCUGGGCACGGCUGGGCCCUCACUUGCCAAGGGUUUCCUAGUGUCGGUGUGCAACUGAGGGACAGCAGAGCCCUUCUCCCAGCACCUGCCAUGCCUCAUCUUCUCCCUGACCUGGAGGCCAUCCCUGCAGGCCUCAAGUAGCUGCACAGCCUUAUCUGCAACCACGCAGCAGAGCUGGACACGGCCCAAGUGGAGAAGGGGAACACUGUGGGCAACUUGCCUCCCAUAUGAGCCCACGUCCUAGGUCAGGGGAAGACCCAGGGAAGAUGUGGCUGUCAUGGCGACCCUGGACACAAAAUCUCAGAAGUCCCAGGAGGAGGAAGAUGGGAAACUCUUCCAGGGGAGCUCUGGACAGCUCAAAGUGUUGGGCACCACCCACCUGCAGAAGCUAGGUAGUGACUCCCACAGCCGCACAGGCACUGUCCAGGGCCUCCCCAGGAGCGAGCACAGCCUGGGGGCAUCUGCCAGGGAGAGCAGGAGCCAGGGGUUCUCCCACACGUGGCUGGCGGCACACCAUGGCAGCAUCUGAUGUCAACACUGGCUCAGCACAGUCCUUCCAUUAAAAGGGGUCCCCAGGAAGGAUGGGGCUGGGGAACACACCAGCAGGGGUGUACGUUUGUCAGAAGCCACUGUGGUAUAAAAUAGGUGGGUUUCGUUUAUGUCACUUACACCUAGCUCUGGACAGGCCCAAGGUGCCAUGGUCCUGAUCCCUUCUGUGCAGGCUCCGGCCUCCUGGGUACCUGUGCGCACAGCCACUCCUGGAUAAAGUCACUGGAAAGGAGAGACACUGCCACACCCCAGGAGGACCAACAAAGCUGCCAGCCCAGUCAGAGGCCUGGUGUGCAGGCAGCAAGUUAAGGCCACAACUGCUCACAGGAUCAGGCACAGAGACAGCUCCCCUGCACUCUUCCAGGACAGCUGUACCAGCCUUACGCUGCCACAGAGUACCCCACAGAAAACUUGGCCUCCCUCCGGUAGGGCUGCAAGCCAGGGCCAUGCCUGGGGGCCACCGGACUCUGGCCAUGCUGAUGUCUGCUGUGGACAUCGUCUGGGCUCAGACUUUGCAUGUGUUCCCAUCACAGUAACCCAUGUCACUCAGAGCCUGCUGUGUUGGGCAUGGGGAGCCUUGCACUGGACAUGUGGGAAGGGAGAGGGGCCCUGGGCGAACGUACCCUCCACAUUGCCCUGCCACCCAGCCUGUGCCAUGCCCUGGUAAUUCCGCUGUCCUUGGCUGCAUUUUCCUAAAGUCAGCUCUGAGCUCAAGUGGCACAGGCAAGGCCCAAGGCAGCCUUGUGCCUUGAGCGCAGCCUCACCUGCCAGGCCAGCCAGGGAGGCUGCCACCAAGUGGACGGGCCAAGUGGGACCACACUAUACCCCCCAGGUGGCAGGCAACACCCACUUGUCCUCAGGGAAGGUCAGGCCCCUCGCCUGGCUCCAGCAGGCUGCACCUGGGCCCCAGCACUGGUGCCAGCCCUUCAGCUGUGCCCUCCAUGGUAGGCACAUUAGCAUCUCAAUGGCCUGGAUUGAUAGCCAGGGAGCAGCUGCCUGGGCACAGGAGAAGGGGGCAGCCUUGCUCCUUGGGGUGGGCUGGGCUCCGUCAAGUGGCUUCCUCUCCCCACAUGGCCCCACUCACAACUGGAUGGAAGAACACCAAGCUCUACCAGCAGUAGCCAGGGCCUCUGUGUCCCUCAACGUCCACCCCGGGGCAGCCACGCAGCUGUAGGGCUGGGCAGCCAGGCUCCGUUCCUGCCUUUGCUGUGAGCAGAGGUGGGGCCAGGCCCAGGCCCAUCAGUACCUGCCCAGCCCAGGAGGCACAGGCUCUCCACCAGCCCCUGGGGAAGCCCCUGGUCCCCACAGCUUGGCCCUUCCUGCAACUGUCUGCCCCAUCACUGGAGCAUCAGCUCUACCUGAGAAUCGGCCGUAUCCCCAGAUGAUGCCACUGCAGUGGGCUGGGUAGUGUCCCCAAAUUCAGAUCCACCCUGGACCUCAGGAUGUGACAUUUGGGAAGAGGGUCCUUGAGAAGAAUUGAGGAUUGGGAGGUCUGCAAAUCAGUGACAGGUGCUCAGAGAGGAGACAGGAGGAGGGAUGAGACCAGAGCAGGAAGGACAGUCCUCCCACCAACCUUAAUGGAGGGUGGCCCUGCCCACACCUGAAUUCUGACCCGGGGCCUCCAACCUGUGGGAGGAUAAACUCUCCUGCUUGAAGCCCCAGGUGAGGCCCUUUAUUGUAGCCCCCAGAGAUCACACACUGCCAGCCUGGGAGCAGGUGGCAGAAUGUAGCCCCGAGUGCCCUCAGUCACCCUUGCAACCAGGGCCAGGCCCCCCACUCCUGCUGGCCCCACAGAGGGCCAUGGACACUGCUUCCUUCACAGCCCAGUGCUGGGACAACACAGGACAGGCCCAGGCCUUGGAGAUGUUCUCAGGGGAGGCCCACAGGGCACCAGGGACUGAUGGUACCCACUGGCAGGCGACAUCACAGACACAUGAGCUCCCUGGCACCUCUCUGCAGACACUUGGCUGACAGCUUUCCCGUGUGUGGUUGGCAAGACCUUCCAGAACAGGAGCGCUCUGCCCGCAGCUCUGCCUGCUGGGAUGUGGCCACGCCUUGUGCAGAAGCGCCCCCACCCCGCCAUCCCCCACCUCAAGUCUAUCCCGCCUGGGGCUGCACAGCCCACAGUGGGCAGCCUGUCCGUCCUCCCCAUGAACACUGAGGGCACAGAGCCAGGUUUUCCAGACAUGGGCUCUGGGCUGGCCUGGUGCAGCCUGGAGCCCUGGGGAAGCAGUGGAGGCUGCCAAGCCCAGAGGGCCCCCUGGUGGCAGUGGCCACUGGAAGGCCUCAAGGCAGCUCUGCACUGACCCGCCACACGUCACUGCAGAGUUCUCCUGCCACAUCCCCAGGGCCAGUGGAGGGCGCCUGAGGUCUCAGGCCAAGCCAGGGCUGAUAUCACAGUGAGGGGAGGCUCUGCGCCUGCUGGGGACAGGAACAGAGACAGCUGGGUGUCACCUGUUAGGGCUGGGCACCACAGUUGUGCUGUAGCAUAAGUCCAGGACACUGAACCGGUUGGACACACUCCCUGUGCCUCAGUCUGCUGGCAGGAGUCAGGGACAGGCCUGCCAGCAGGGCAGAUUGUGUCCUAGACCCCUGCCUAGAUGCCAUAAUGCUCACAAGGCCCCUCUGGACCCAGGGAUUCCAGUGCUGAGCCCAGUCCCUGCAGGCAGUGCCCAGGGAGCAUCCCCCGGGGACAGGCAGAAGCUGUCUGGCUUGGCAGUGGGUCCAGACCUGGUACAUCCCACAAUAUACCUGUCAUAUGUACCUGGUACAUCCCAGGUUCUGCCCUGGUACAUCCUCCCCUGCGAACAUCUCGAGCAUAGCCUGCUCAGGCCCUUGCCUUGGUACCAGGACAGGACCCACUGCCAAACCAGCAGCAGCCUCCUCCAAUCCAGUGACAGUGAGGAAACAACCUUGGUGACAGCAGCAGAUUGUCAUGCUGAGCUCAGACUUUGUGCCCCUAAGGCAGGGACCCUGGAAGAAGCCAGCAGCUAUGCUGAUCCCCACAACCUCACCUCUGAACCAAGAACCAGCAAGGGCCUCCACUGGAGGCUGUUCCCUCCCAUCCCCGUGGGUCUGUGGGUCCAGCUGGGGCAGGAAGGGGACACCAGGAGACUGACCUGGGUGGCUAUAGAACCACCAUCAUAGAGAGAAUGGUGGACCUCAAGACAUAAAUGCACAUCCUGAUCCCAAAACCUGCAAAUAGAGCCCAAUUUGGAAAAUAGGGUUUUGCAUAAUAAAGUUAAGAGAUCAUCCUGGCUGUGGUGGCCCUGAAUCAAUGAGACAGGCAGAGAGCAGCCACAUGGCCACCAGCCACAGUAACAGUCACCAGGGGGGGAAGGACCCCCUUGAUCCCUGAGGGCACACAGCCUGCCCAGGCCUCAACUGCUGGCUUCCAUGGCUGGGAAGGUAAGUCCCUGUUUGGAGACGUGGGGGUAGUGGCCUGGCAGAGUAGCCCUGGAGAUGCCUGCUUUGUGGUGGCAGCUCCCUGGUGGCCAUCUCCCGUCAGCCUUGGGGGCUUAAUACGCAGGGUUGAGACUCACUGGACACAGUGGUCUCAAGUUCCUCUAUACACACGUGCUCAGCACCAGGUAAGAAAGAGACCAGGUACGGCAGGUGCUGGAGGACCCCUGAC